rfam:Hordeum vulgare subsp. vulgare, WGS project CAJW01000000 data, contig: morex_contig_40915
CACUUACUACCUCCAUCUCAAAAUUCUUGUCUUAAGUUUGUUUAAAAACGGAUGUAUCUAAAUACUAAAACGUGACUAGAUAUACUCAUAUCUAGACAAAUUUAAGACAAGAAUUUUGGAACGGAGGAAGUACUAC